AGCAGCCGCGGUAAUUCCAGCUCCAAUAGCGUAUAUUAAAGUUGUUGCAGUUAAAAAGCUCGUAGUUGAAUUUCGGGGUUAGUAGGUUGGUCAUGCCUCUGGUAUGUACUGGUCUCACUGAUUCCUCCUUCCUGAUGAACCUUAAUGCCAUUUAUUUGGUGUUUUGGGGAAUUUGGACUGUUACUUUGAAAAAAUUAGAGUGUUUAAAGCAAGCUAACGCUUGAAUACAUUAGCAUGGAAUAAUGAAAUAGGACGUUCGAUCCUAUUUUGUUGGUUUCUAGGAUUGACGUAAUGAUUAAUAGGGAUAGUUGGGGCAUUAGUAUUCAAUUGUCAGAGGUGAAAUUCUUGGAUUUAUUGAAGACUAACUACUGCGAAAGCAUUUGCCAAGGAUGUUUUCAUUAAUCAAGAACGAAAGUUAGGGGAUCGAAGACGAUCAGAUACCGUCGUAGU
rnacentral:rRNA from 1 species